AUACGGAGGAUCCGAGCGUUAUCCGGAUUUAUUGGGUUUAAAGGGUGCGCAGGCGGCCAUUUAAGUCAGCGGUUAAAUCGUGGGGCUCAACCCCAUUCUGCCGUUGAUACUGGGUGGCUUGAUUGCGGUCGAGGUUGGCGGAAUUCGUUGUGUAGCGGUGAAAUGCAUAGAUAUGACGAAGAACACCGAUUGCGUAGGCAGCUGACCAGACCGCAAAUGACGCUCAUGCACGAAAGUGCGGGGAUCGAACAGGAUUAGAUACCCUGGUAGUCCACGCAGUAAACGAUGAUUACUAGCUGUUUGCGAUAUACAGUAAGUGGCACAGCGAAAGCGUUAAGUAAUCCACCUGGGGAGUACGCCGGCAACGGUGAAACUCAAAUGAAUUGACGGGG
rnacentral:rRNA from 1 species